AACGAACGCUGGCGGCAGGCCUAACACAUGCAAGUCGAACGCUCGUAGCAAUACGAGAGUGGCAGACGGGUGAGUAACACGUGGGAACCUUCCCUAUGGUUCGGAAUAGCUCAGGGAAACUUGAGGUAAUACCGGAUAAGCCCUUACGGGGAAAGAUUUAUCGCCGGAGGAUUGGCCCGCGUCUGAUUAGCUUGUUGGUGAGGUAAUGGCUCACCAAGGCGACGAUCAGUAGCUGGUCUGAGAGGAUGAUCAGCCACAUUGGGACUGAGACACGGCCCAAACUCCUACGGGAGGCAGCAGUGGGGAAUAUUGGACAAUGGGCGAAAGCCUGAUCCAGCCACGCCGCGUGAGUGAUGAAGGCCUUAGGGUUGUAAAGCU
rnacentral:rRNA from 1 species